UGUUAUGGCGGCUGUGCGCGGGAUACCUUCGGGUAUGCCGGGUGCCUAGAGUCCCGGUCUGCGAACCUGCGUACAGCUGCCACCCUG
rfam:Pseudomonas fluorescens ABAC62 scaffold368_001, whole genome shotgun sequence.